CCUACGGGAGGCAGCAGUGAGGAAUAUUGGUCAAUGGACGGAAGACUGAACCAGCCAAGCCGCGUGAGGGAGGAAGGUUCUGUGUAUCGUAAACCUCUUUUGUAAGGGAACAAAGUGUGGGACGUGUCCCCUGUUGUGUGUACCUUAUGAAAAAGGAUCGGCUAACUCCGUGCCAGCAGCCGCGGUAAUACGGAGGAUGCGAGCGUUAUCCGGAUUUGUUGGGUUUAACGGGUGCGGAGGCGGUCCGUUAAGUCAGCGGUGAAAGCCAGGGGCUCAACCCGAGAACUGCCGUUGAAACUGGGGGUCUUGAGUAUGUGAGAGGCAGGCGGAAUGCGCGGUGUAGCGGUGAAAUGCAUAGAUAUCGCGCAGAACUCCGAUGGCGAAGGCAGCAUGCCGGUCCCUCACUGACGCUGAGGCACGAAAGCGUGGGUAGCAAACAGGAUUAGAUACCCGGGUAGUC
rnacentral:rRNA from 1 species